rnacentral:lncRNA from 1 species
GCCGCGCGUAGCCACCCGCCAGGCGCUCGGGCGCGGCCGCCGCUCCCACCCUCCCGGCCAGAGCGCUGCGCCCCUGCCGGACCCCUGCAGGACCCAGGAUCCGGAUGAGGAAGCCGCUUGUCUUUCUGCCCUGGGUGACCGGCUGACACCAACAAGCCUGUUGAAGGGCAACCGGUACAUUGGAGAUGCUUGAAAUGGUGAAAAUGAAUUAAAUGGUCAAGGCUGCUUCUAAGAGGAGGUAAGGCUGAGUUGGGCAUUGAAGAAAAAUGUGGGAAAAAAAAAAAGGGAGCAAGGACCCCGG